rfam:Methylophaga frappieri strain JAM7, complete genome.
GUUCACUGCCGCACAGGCAGCUUAGAAA